rnacentral:lncRNA from 1 species
AAUCUUUGAGGAAGGCGUCAGCAAAUCUAGUCAUGAUUCUCGCAUGUCCUCUCCCUCAAUCCCCUCCAGUUGGUGGUGUUGCCGUGCUUCUGACAUUAGGUUUGAUGACGUCGAUUGUAAAUAGAUUAAUAACAUUUUCCCUCUCAUCUAAACCAAGCUAUGCGGAUGUUCUCAAAAGCGGCAAGGAUCCCACCCACCUGC